UAGGUAAUCUGCCUUUUAGUGGGGAAUAACACAGGGAAACCUGUGCUAAUGCCACAUAAGUAAGCAAUUAGAAAGAAGGUCUCUAUUUAUAAGCUUUCGCUGAAAGAAGAGCCUGCGUCCUAUUAGCUAGUUGGUGGGGUAAUAGCCUACCAAGGCAACGAUAGGUAUCCGGUCUGAGAGGAUGAUCGGACACACUGGAACUGAGACACGGUCCAGACUCCUACGGGAGCAG
rnacentral:rRNA from 1 species